UACGUAGGGUGCAAGCGUUGUCCGGAUUUAUUGGGCGUAAAGAGCUCGUAGGCGGUUUGUCGCGUCGGAUGUGAAAACCCAGGGCUCAACCCUGGGCCUGCAUUCGAUACGGGCAAACUAGAGUAUGGCAGGGGAGACUGGAAUUCCUGGUGUAGCGGUGAAAUGCGCAGAUAUCAGGAGGAACACCGGUGGCGAAGGCGGGUCUCUGGGCCGUAACUGACGCUGAGGAGCGAAAGCAUGGGGAGCGAACAGG
rnacentral:rRNA from 1 species